AAUUGUUGCCUCGCUUACCGUGCGCUAUUUUUCAACAAGCGGUACAGAGACUCCUCAAAAUAGCGAGUCAUUCGCUGUUCACUGGUUUUACCGCCGUCUGCAAACCAGUACACCACCGUUCGCGCCACUCCAUCUGAAGUCUCUUCUUCGAACUCCGGCUCUCUCUCUCUCUCUCUCCCCAAUUUGUUUUCUUUAUAAUGCAGGUGUUCCGACGAAUUUGCGCGCACUUUGAACGAAUCACUACAACCCUUCCCACAACCGUAAUCACAUGCUUAUGCGCGGAGCUGAGGUGACGUCGAGAGUUUCUGGGAAGAAGAAUUGAAUCCAAGACAUUUGGAGGGAUCAAACCUCAAAAUCUCAGGUCAAAAUCACCUGGCCAACCCAAUGGGGUUGGAGUAACCUAUUGUUUGUUUCAUUGAGGAUAAAGUCGACAGGGAUCCUGAAACAAGAUGGGGGACACCAUAGAAGCUCCUGCAAAAGAAAAUUGCAAUCUUGCACAAUGCAGCGUUAAUCUUAAGUUUGUUUCACAUCAGGUUGAGCAACCAUUGCGAAUCGAGGUCUUAAGGUGCAGCUGUAUUUGAUUAUAGACUCAAACAAGACCCGCAAGUUCUGCAUCUUUUUUUUGGAUAAGUUUUGAAGAAACAAACCAAACAGGUAUAUGUCUAGGUGCCCCCCCCUACACAAAUGUGAUCUGCAAACGUAAGUCAGGAUUGUGAGCUCUUGGAUGAGCUAGUUUCUGCUCUUCAGAACUUUCUCUCUUGAAAUACUAAACAUAUACAAGUUGCUGGGAGCACUAAAUUUAUGCUCAUGUUCAAUUCAAAAGCUGCAUAUUUACAGUAGACCACAUCAUACAACUGAGAAACAAAUACAAAUACAAUUUAAGCAAAAAAAUAUAGGUACAUUCACAUAAAGAAUCUAUUGAAACUGCUGAACCUAUCUUUCUGAAUUGCUUCAUCUACAUCAAAACAUCGUUCUUUUUUCCUGCAUUUUAAUGUUGCUGAAUAUUUCUCUUUUCACAUGAAACUAGAGUAGUCGGUUCGUUGGGCCGGAUGCUGAGUUAGGGAAUCUGGCUCUCAACAAGUUGGAUUCUUCCAUUGUUUGAAAAUUUCUCCCUCUGUCCUUGUCCGGCAAGGGAAUAGGCUUCUUCUCCAUGGGCCGCAUCAUCCCCAAUCCUGAGCUCUUCCUCGGACAUCCGGAGAGGUAUCACUACCCUAAUGACCACCAGAAUAAUAGAUGUGGCUACCACGUUCCAGCCUAUAAUAAAAGCAGCGCCGGCCAACUGUUUAAGGAAUUGCACU